rnacentral:rRNA from 1 species
AUGCAAGUCGACGGUAACAGGUCUUUCGGGAUGCUGACGAGUGGCGCACGGGUGCGUAACGCGUAUGCAAUCUACCUCUAACUGAAGAAUAGCCCAGGGAAACUUGGAUUAAUACUUCAUAACAUCACAUUAUCUCAUGAUGAUAUGAUUAAAGCUUUGGCGGUUAGAGAUGAGCAUGCGUCCCAUUAGUUUGUUGGUGAGGUAACGGCUCACCAAGACUACGAUGGGUAGGGGGUCUGAGAGGAUUAUCCCCCACACUGGUACUGAGACACGGACCAGACUCCUACGGGAGGCAGCAGUGAGGAAUAUUGGGCAAUGGACGAAAGUCUGACCCAGCCAUGCCGCGUGCAGGAUGACGGCCCUAUGGGUUGUAAACUGCUUUUAUGUAGGAAGAAACCCCCUUCUACGUGUAAAGGGCUGACGGUACUACUUGAAUAAGCAUCGGGCUAACUCCGUG